UAAAUGUAUAAAUUGUCUUUACAUAACACAGUCGCAAUUCCAGUUAACUGUAAUUAUAUACAAGCUUGUCUGCUACUGUCUCUGCAUGUCCAAUGAUCACAGUUAUAUCUGUUACUAUAUGAUUUCCCAUUGCUUGCCUCCCAUGCCGCUGCGUAAACUUCAUCCAAAGUAUGCCUUCCCAAAUCCAUACAUUUCUAUCCGCCUGUCUUUGCACAGGCGUAAAAUUCUUCACCGUCUCGUUCCCACUCGUAGACAACCCAUUUGUUCUCCGAAGGAACAUCGACCACAAUCCCGUGAUGAACUCCCAGACCUAAUGCUGCUUUAACGCGACAAGACCAAACCUUUACGGUUCCUUCAGCACUCCCCGUGUGCAAUAGCUUUAGAUGAACCCAUGUCCAGUUGUAUUAAAGCGUUGUGUGUAUGUCGAGUUCGUGAAGAUUACUUGGUCGCGAAGUCAAGCUAAACUGGCUUAGAUUGUAGUAUUGUUUUGCAUUCUCACUUUCCGUGUACUUCCUUGGCCGCGUUUUUCGAGGUACAUAUUUCUGGGAACUGAGGUUCGGGGGCCAACUUUACCGAGGAGAAAAAA